UACGUAGGGUGCGAGCGUUAAUCGGAAUUACUGGGCGUAAAGCGUGCGCAGGCGGUUUUGUAAGCCAGAUGUGAAAUCCCCGGGCUUAACCUGGGAAUGGCAUUUGGGACUGCAAGGCUUGAGUGCGGCAGAGGAGACUGGAAUUCCUGGUGUAGCAGUGAAAUGCGUAGAUAUCAGGAGGAAUACCGAUGGCGAAGGCAGGUCUCUGGGCUGACACUGACGU
rnacentral:rRNA from 1 species